GGCAGAGAGAGGGAGACACAGAAUCUGAAGCAGGCUCCAGGCUCUGAGCUGUCAGCACAGAGCCUGAUGCAGGGCUCAAACCUACGAGCCAUUAGAUCAUGACCGGAAGCCAAGAGUGCAACAUUUAGCCGACUGAGCUACCCAGAGGCCCCAGCUAAAUAGAGUCUUUUAAACCUUUAACUCCCAAUCAGUUUUUGUUUUUAUUUUUUUCCCAACAAAAUACUAUACCCAAAAUUUCCAUGUACUAAAAUGUUGCAAAAUUUCAUUUUGGGGACAUUAUUUCUUAGAUCAUGAAAUAUAAAUUAUUCCUUACUAUUUUAUCAUUCAACAUUGUUGAUAAAUUUUAAGCAGAAAUUUCAGAUGCAAAGGCACAUUUAAAUGGCAUUUAAAAACCAAACAGGACCUGUAUCUUUGCACUGGUUUAUGCUUAGAGCACGAAAAUUAACAUUUCUUAUCUGUAGUUAUCAGAUGUUUUUUCCCAGAAGGAACAUGAGUUAAUGGAUUCUUAUCCUACUUUUAAAAAUCACAACUAAAUAAAUAGUUGUUGAGCUUAAGGAAUGGUAAUCUGUCUGAUAUUCCACUUUCCCCCAGGGAGCUAUCCUUCACCUAUGCUUUUUUAGAUAGAACUGAGUGGGUUUUUUUGGUUUGUUUUAGUUUAUAUAAAUAUCAGAAACACACAGUACAAAAAUAUAAUGAAAUGCACAUGUGUAAAUUACCUUAUGUCAAUUGUUACUUCUAAUCUAUAUUUUUCUUCUACCUAAAUUGCAUAGGCACUCAAUCUGGUCUAUUGUGAAUGUUCAUGGAAUAAAUCCAGAGCAAAAUCUAGAUAAUCUACUGUGGAAUGUGCAUAUUGCAAUAUAUUACAUUAGCCAAAUAUCUAUCAGAUCCAUCUUUAUUCUUUUAAAAUAAACUUUGUUAAGAUAUCACUGUCUACGUUAUUUUUGAAAAUAUUUUUCUUUAUAUCUCACCUUCAUUAAAAUUUGCUAUGAUUAUUAUUUUGCUGUUUAACAUAAGUAAGAAAGAUUGUGGGAGGAAAAAAAAACCCUAGUAUUUUUAUUGGUAUUAGCAUGUGCUUGUACUUUGUCCAGUAGAAUUCAUUGUUUUGAUUUAUAUCAUUUUUUGCUAUUAUUUAAUAUAUAAACAAUUUUCUCUACUUUGCACUUAAUUUUGUAAUUCUUUUUGCCCACUUUUUGCUGACCAAAGGAGUGAGUAUAGGGACAGAUGAUGAUAGGGCAUCAUGAGAGUAAGGAAUUUCUGGGUUAUGGCCACCACUAUUUCAUCAAAAAGCCAUCGAGGAAUCACAUUUUCAUGUGACUAUUUUCUAGCAUUUUGAGGAGAUAAUAGAGAUAUUGCUAUGGAGAGAAGGUAAUUUCCCCAAAGAUGCUUAAAAUGGGUGUUUUAUCUAGGAGUCUUUUCCUUUACAUAUUUAGGCUAACGUGUUUACAUUUAAGAUCUCUUCCCUUUUCAAUAUUCAUGUUUUGGUUUUAGCACCUUUCCCCCAGAAAAGUAGAAGUAAAUUGCUGCAGUCCGUUUUCAAUUUCCUAGAGGAUUUAGAAAUACUUGACACCAGAUACUUAAAUCUCAAAAUACUGCACAUCGAGCUCAGCACUGCCUGUAGGAAGGAGGCUCUGAGGCAGCUGUCUAAAGGUGAGUGGGUGAAUGCUUAUUGUCUUCUCUCUUCUAGACCACAAAGUCCAGAAGCAGGGUCUUAAGCUUUUUCUCUUGGUGUCUAGGACAACUUGGGGGCUCAUCCCCCCACCUCAAAGUAAGCACUUCAGCUAACAGGCAAGAGAAACCAGUAAGUAAUGUCACAUUGUGAGCUAACUCUAGUUUUGUUUAUUGUCUCUCUUGCUCUAAGAGCACACACUGCUACACUAUUUUUACAAAACUCAAAAGUAACAUAAUUGGUUGGAAUGGGCACUGAAAACUGAUCUUACUCCUCAUGGAUUCCUGUCUUCCAAAUUAGAGUCAAGGUUAAAAUAACCCAGUGCUGAUCAUCAUAUCAUCUAAGGCUGUCUAGACAAGGUAAAAAUGUUCUCAUCAGCAGUUUUGCAGACAAGAAAAAUACAGGUUUGUGUAAAUUGCUGGCUCAAACCUUUUGUGGUAUGAUUACAAAAUGAGAACUAUGAUUUUAUUUCUUAUAUAUUUUACAGGAAGUAGAAUGAGGGAGUGAAAGCCAUUUUAUGGAAUCUGUUCAAUGGAGCAGGAGACUUGUCCAGAGUUCUUUGUGUUGAGGAUGGAAGUUGAAAAAACAUCUAGACAUGAUCAAUUCAAGCUGUAGUGUACAGGUUCACUCUUCAUUCCAGCUCAUAUAUCAUCUUUCUGUCAUUCUUUGCUGAGCUCCUACUGCUUUGAGCUCUUUUAAAAUAAAGAUAUAAUUUUUUUAUAUGAUCGGGAAAAUCCUUUGUCUCAAUUUUCAGUUUCUCCAUAGCAAAUUUUUUUCAUUUGCUUUUUUAUUCUUGUUUCUUCCUUCUAUGUACUAGAAGUUUUUGACAUAGAUCCUGUGUUGGAUCCUUUUUUAUUCUGUCUCAACUUGAAAAGACAUGAAAUCAUUUCAGAUAAAAAAUAUGUAGGAGGGUAUGUGGUGUGUGUGUGUGUGUGUGUGUGUGUGUGUGUGUGUAACCACGCAUGUAUGUGUUUAAUUCAGGCUACAGGAACUCUCUCUCUGUUCCUGGGUCAUACAUGUGAGUUAAGCAAUCUUUUCCUGUACUUCAGCUGACCGAGACAGGCAGGUGGGGCUCUCCCUUGCUCUCCUUUACCUGCAGUGUGUUUGGCUGCAAAAAACAGACAGCCUGUGCAAUAUCCCAUUCUGGUCAUUUUCUGAUCCAGGUCCUGCCACAGGGUGUCCAUUGGCUAAUGUUGGUUAUUAUGGUUAUUGCAAAGUUCUUGUGUGUUUUUUAUAUCAUUAAUGUAAUGAUUUUUAAAUGUACUGAUUAUGUCACUGGGAAUUGCAUAAGUUUGGAAUGCUGUGGUUGUUGCUUUGUUCAGGGCCUUUAUGCAAAAAUCAGGUCCCCAAACAUUCAAAAAGUGUUCCCCUGAAUAAAAGUAUCCAAUUAUAAUUGAAGUCUAUACUUUUAUUUUUAUUAUAUUUUUAAAAUAUUUAUUUUUGAGAGAGAGUGUGCGCGCGUACGUGCACGCACACGCACAUAUACGUACGCACACACACUCACGCGCGCAUAGGGAAGGGACAGAGAGACAGAGGGAGACAGGAUUCUUAUGAUCUGAAGCAGGGUCUGUGCUGACAGCAGACAGCCCGAUGCCUGGCUCGAGCCCAUGAACCCACAAACCCACAAACUGUGAGAUCAUGACCUGAGCCAACGUCCCACCCUUAACUGACUGAACCACCCAGGCAUUCCUGAAGUCUAUACUUUGAAAAAUAAAAAAGACCAGCGACUGUUUUUUGAAAGGUAGCUCAUAGGUUCCUGUGUGGAAAUAUGAAGCUUCUGUAGCUAACAAAUAGCAGAAAGUGAACGACUUGUGCUGUUAUAAAUUUAAAUUACUUUCUCAAAUCAUAUGUGUACCAAUUAAGUACGUCAGAAGUUUGUGAUGAAAAGCAAAGAUCACUAACCUCUUCUGUCCUAAUCCUGGUCCGUGGGUCAGAGGAAAUCUUUUUAUUCUAUUUUAAUUUUUAAUUUUUUUAUUUUUAAAUUAAAAAAAUGGGAACGCUUCACAAAUUUGCACAUCAUCCUUGUACAGGGGCUGUGCUAAUCUUCUCUGCAUGGUUCCAGUUUUUAGUAUGUGUGCUGCUGAAGCAAGCACCAGAGGAAAUCUUUUUAAAUUGUUGUUCUGUUAGUGAUCUUAACUAGAUAAUAUGAUCAGAUCUCUAUUUUUUGCUUUACCAGCUUAAUAAAGUAUUGAUUGUUUAAUAUGAAAAGUCAUUUUUAUCUUACCUGUUACUUUUCAGACAUUAUUCUGAGAGUACAGGUUGGGGCAAAAAUUAGAUUGGAAUCAGGUGGAGAGGGAAUAGGCACAAGGGAGUCAGAGACAACGCAGUCCUUAGCCGUGGUUUUGCUUUCCACAGCUUCAGUUACACAAAGGGGGUGGCGAAACAGGUGCUCCUACUCCUGACAGAUUAUCUGAACGUCAAUAGUCAUCGACAUCUACGUCACCACCCCUACAUAAUUCCCCUCACUUCAUCUGAUCACAUAGGCAUUUUAUCGUGUCACAUCAUCACAAGAAGGGAAAACUAACAUUCGAAAACAACCCUGACAACAUGGCAAAAGCGAAGCAGAAGAAGCACACCUGCGAGCUCACCUGAGGCAGGGCAGACCUGCAUAGGUUACUGGACAAGCCCAAGAGCCCCGGAUGCAGCUGUACCGCCCCCAGGCGGCGGCGACUGGACCUCGCCUGGCGGCCGGCGCGGCGCUCCCUACGAAAGCGCCUGCGCAAAGCCAAGAAGUGGCGGCAGCUGAGGGGCAAGCGCCCGGUGGUGAGGAGGCAGCUGAGGGACGUAUUCCCCCUGCUUAGUUUGGUGGACAACCUGGUGGGCGUCUGUAAGGGACCUUCAGCCUUAUGGAAUCAUGUCUGAGAUUAUUGGCCACAACCAGGGUGAGUUCUCCAUCAACCCUGGAAGCAAGACGCAUCCGUGCACCCACUCCCGCUUCAUCCUCCUCAAGUAGCAUGAAAGGUAAUCAGACCACAAGAAACCACAUCCAGACUGAUCAGAAGGUCCAGAAAUCUUGGACUCUGACCUGGACACCAUUAUUUGGUAGGACUUUGGAUGGACUCCCUAGGGAAAAUAUGU